rnacentral:lncRNA from 1 species
GUUAGAUGGUAGGUGGUAAUGAGUGUAGGGUUAGAUGGUAGGUGGUAAUGAGUGUAGGGGUAGAUGGUAGGGUAUUUAAAUAGUGUAGUAGGGUGGUAGGUGGUAAUGAGUGUAGGGUUAGAUGGUAGGUGGUAAUGAGUGUAGGGUUAGAUGGUAGAUGGUAAUGAGUGUAGGGUUAGAUGGUAGAUGGUAAUGAGUGUAGGGUUAGAUGGUAGGUGGUAAUGAGUGUAGGGUUAGAUGGUAGAUGGUAAUGAGUGUAGGGUUAGAUGGUAGAUGGUAAUGAGUGUAGGGUUAGAUGGUAGAUGGUAAUGAGUGUAGGGUUAGAUGGUAGAUGGUAAUGAGUGUAGGGUUAGACGGUAGAUGGUAAUGAGUGUAGGGUUAGAUGGUAGAUGGUAAUGAGUGUAGGGUUAGAUGGUAGGUGGUAAUGAGUGUAGCGUUAGAUGGUAGAUGGUAAUGAGUGUAGGGUUAGAUGGUAGGUGGUAAUGAGUGUAGGGUUAGAUGGUAGAUGGUAGUGAGUGUAGGGUUAGAUGGUAGAUGGUAAUGAGUGUAGGGUUAGAUGGUAGAUGGUAAUGAGUGUAGGGUUAGAUGGUAGAUGGUAGGGUAUUUAAAUAGUGGAGUAGGGUGGUAGAUGGUAAUGAGUGUAGGGUUAGAUGGUAGAUGGUAGGGUAUUUAAAUAGUGUAGUAGGGUGGUAGAUGGUAAUGAGUGUAGGGUUAGAUGGUAGGGUAUUUAAAUAGUGUAGUAGGGUGGUAGAUGGUAAUGAGUGUAGGGUUAGAUGGUAGAUGGUAAUGAGUGUAGGGUUAGAUGGUAGGGUAUUUAAAUAGUGUAGUAGGGUGGUAGGUGGUAAUGAGUGUAGGGGUAGAUGGUAGAUGGUAAUGAGUGUAGGGUUAGAUGGUAGAUGGUAGGGUAUUUAAAUAGUGGAGUAGGGUGGUAGGUUGGUAAUGAGUGUAGGGUUAGAUGGUAGAUGGUAGGGUAUUUAAAUAGUGUAGUAGCGUGGUAGAUGGUAAUGAGUGUAGGGUUAGAUGGUAGGUGGUAAUGAGUGUAGGGUUAGAUGGUAAUGAGUGUAGGGUUAGAUGGUAGAUGGUAAUGAGUGUAGGGUUAGAUGGUAGAUGGUAGUGAGUGUAGGGUUAGAUGGUAGAUGGUAGGGUAUUUAAAUAGUGUAGUAGGGUGGUAGAUGGUAAUGAGUGUAGGGUUAGAUGGUAGGUGGUAAUGAGUGUAGGGUUAGAUGGUAAUGAGUGUAGGGUUAGAUGGUAGAUGGUAAUGAGUGUAGGGUUAGAUGGUAGAUGGUAGUGAGUGUAGGGUUAGAUGGUAGAUGGUAGGGUAUUUAAAUAGUGUAGUAGGGUGGUAGAUGCUAAUGAGUGUAGGUUUAGAUGGUAGGUGGUAAUGAGUGUAGGGUUAGAUGGUAAUGAGUGUAGGGUUAGAUGGUAGGUGGUAAUGAGUGUAGGGUUAGAUGGUAGAUGGUAGUGAGUGUAGGGUUAGAUGGUAGAUGGUAAUGAGUGUAGGGUUAGAUGGUAGAUGGUAAUGAGUGUAGGGUUAGAUGGUAGAUGGUAGGGUAUUUAAAUAGUGGAGUAGGAUGGUAGAUGGUAAUGAGUGUAGGGUUAGAUGGUAGAUGGUAGGGUAUUUAAAUAGUGGAGUAGGGUGGUAGAUGGUAAUGAGUGUAGGGUUAGAUGGUAGAUGGUAGGGUAUUUAAAUAGUGUAGUAGGGUGGUAGAUGGUAAUGAGUGUAGGGUUAGAUGGUAGGGUAUUUAAAUAGUGUAGUAGGGUGGUAGAUGGUAAUGAGUGUAGGGUUAGAUGGUAGAUGGUAAUGAGUGUAGGGUUAGAUGGUAGGGUAUUUAAAUAGUGUAGUAGGGUGGUAGGUGGUAAUGAGUGUAGGGGUAGAUGGUAGAUGGUAAUGAGUGUAGGGUUAGAUGGUAGAUGGUAGGGUAUUUAAAUAGUGUAGUAGGGUGGUAGGUUGGUAAUGAGUGUAGGGUUAGAUGGUAGAUGGUAGGGUAUUUAAAUAGUGGAGUAGGGUGGUAGGUUGGUAAUGAGUGUAGGGUUAGAUGGUAGAUGGUAGGGUAUUUAAAUAGUGUAGUAGGGUGGUAGGUGGUAAUGAGUGUAGGGUUGGAUGGUAGAUGGUAAUGAGUGUAGGGUUAGAUGGUAGAUGGUAAUGAGUGUAGGGUUAGAUGGUAGAUGGUAAUGAGUGUAGGGUUAGAUGGUAGGUGGUAAUGAGUGUAGGGUUAGAUGGUAGGUGGUAAUGAGUGUAGGGGUAGAUGGUAGGGUAUUUAAAUAGUGUAGUAGGGUGGUAGGUGGUAAUGAGUGUAGGGUUAGAUGGUAGAUGGUAAUGAGUGUAGGGUUAGAUGGUAGAUGGUAAUGAGUGUAGGGUUAGAUGGUAGAUGGUAAUGAGUGUAGGGUUAGAUGGUAGAUGGUAAUGAGUGUAGGGUUAGAUGGUAGAUGGUAAUGAGUGUAGGGUUAGAUGGUAGAUGGUAAUGAGUGUAGGGUUAGAUGGUAGAUGGUAAUGAGUGUAGGGUUAGAUGGUAGGUGGUAAUGAGUGUAGGGUUAGAUGGUAGGUGGUAAUGAGUGUAGGGUUAGAUGGUAGAUGGUAAUGAGUGUAGGGGUAGAUGGUAGAUGGUAAUGAGUGUAGGGGUAGAUGGUAGAUGGUAAUGAGUGUAGGGUUAGAUGGUAGAUGGUAAUGAGUGUAGGGUUAGAUGGCAGAUGGUAAUGAGUGUAGGGUUAGAUGGUAGAUGGUAAUGAGUGUAGGGUUAGAUGGCAGAUGGUAAUGAGUGUAGGGUUAGAUGGUAGAUGGUAGGAAUAUUUGUUGAUUUAUUCAUUUUUAGUUUCAAGCAAAGUGUAAAGGAGUUAAACUCCAGUCUAGUAAGUGGCGGUAAUGCAACAUUUAUUGGAUGCCCAACACUGUUAAACCUCCUCGAUAAAGGUGAAAAAUAAUAAAUAAUAAUAAAUAAUAAUAAAGGUGAAGAAAAGAAAAUGGAAGAAGAACGUUGAACUGCACCGCUAGAUGGCAGCAGAUCACCUGGUGUCAAGCAGUCUGAUAGCGCAGAGGUUUGGUCCAAGAAGACCUGUAGUCUGUGAUGUUAUUCCCUCCUCCUCCUCCAUGUGAUGUUAUUCCCUCCUCCUCCUCUAUGUGAUGUUAUUCCCUCCUCCUCCUCCUCCGUGUGAUGUUAUUCCCUCCUCCAUGUGAUGUUAUUCCCUCCUCCUCCUCCUCCAUGUGAUGUUAUUCCCUCCUCCUCCUCCAUGUGAUGUUAUUC